UACGGGAAGGCAGCAGUGGGGAAUAUUGCACAAUGGGCGCAAGCCUGAUGCAGCCCAUGCCGCGUGUAUGAAGAAGGGCCUUCGGGUUGUAAAGUACUUUCAGUCGUGAGGAAGGUGUUAAGGUUAAUAACCUUAGCAAUUGACGUUAGCGACAGAAGAAGCACCGGCUAACUCCGUGCCAGCAGCCGCGGUAAUACGGAGGGUGCGAGCGUUAAUCGGAAUUACUGGGCGUAAAGGGCACGCAGGCGGUUAAUUAAGUUGGAUGUGAAAUCCCCGGGCUUAACCUGGGAAUGGCAUUCAAGACUGGUUAGCUAGAGUCUUGUAGAGGGGGUAGAAUUCCAUGUGUAGCGGUGAAAUGCGUAGAGAUGUGGAGGAAAUACCGGUGGCGAAGGCGGCCCCGUGGACAAAAGGACUGGACGCUCAUGUGCGAAAGCGUGGGGAGCAAACAGGAUUAGAUACC
rnacentral:rRNA from 1 species